UACGUAGGUGGCAAGCGUUGUCCGGAUUUACUGGGCGUAAAGAGCGCGCAGGCGGCUGGUCAAGUCCGAUGUGAAAGCUCCCGGCUUAACUGGGAAACGGCAUCGGAAACUGAUCGGCUUGAAGGUGGGAGAGGGUAGUGGAAUUCCCGGUGUAGUGGUGAAAUGCGUAGAUAUCGGGAGAAACAUCAGUGGCGAAGGCGACUACCUGGCCCACUCUUGACGCUGAGGCGCGAAAGCUAGGGGAGCAAACGGG
rnacentral:rRNA from 1 species